rnacentral:rRNA from 1 species
CCUACGGGAGGCAGCAGUAAGGAAUAUUGGUCAAUGGACGCAAGUCUGAACCAGCCAUGCCGCGUGAAGGAUUAAGGUCCUCUGGAUUGUAAACUUCUUUUAUUUGGGACGAAAAAGGGCCUUUCUAGGUCAACUGACGGUACCAGAUGAAUAAGCACCGGCUAACUCCGUGCCGGCAGCCGCGGUAAUACGGAGGGUGCAAGCGUUAUCCGGAUUCACUGGGUUUAAAGGGUGCGUAGGCGGGUAGGUAAGUCAGUGGUGAAAUCCUAGAGCUUAACUCUAGAACUGCCAUUGAUACUAUCUAUCUUGAAUAUUGUGGAGGUAAGCGGAAUAUGUCAUGUAGCGGUGAAAUGCUUAGAUAUGACAUAGAACACCUAUUGCGAAGGCAGCUUACUACGCAUAUAUUGACGCUGAGGCACGAAAGCGUGGGGAUCAAACAGGAUUAGAUACCCUGGUAGUCCACGCCCUAAACUAUGAUUACUCGACAUUUGAGAUACACAUUAAAGUGUUCUGAGACGAAGACGAUUAAGUAAAUACCACCGUAGGUAAGGUACGUACCGCGAGAGUUAGAACGUACGAAGAAGUUAGAGGCGNGAGAGNGCGACGGACGACGACGAGGGAGGAGG